GCCUCUGUAGCUCGGUGGUUGGAGCAUUGGCCUGCACACCAAAGGAGUCUCAGGUUCAAUUCCGGGUCAAAGGCA
rnacentral:tRNA from 1 species